rnacentral:snoRNA from 1 species
GUACGGUGAUGAUUGAACUCCGGAAAAGCUGACUUGUGAUGAAGCUCAGCCCGGAUGAAC